rnacentral:rRNA from 1 species
GACGAACGCUGGCGGCGUGCUUAACACAUGCAAGUCGAACGAAGUGGCGGACGGGUGAGUAACGCGUAAUCAACCUACCCAUAAGAGGGGGACAACAGUUGGAAACGACUGCUAAUACCGCAUCCGGAUGGACGGGAUUGUGUCGGAUUAGCUAGUUGGGGGGGUAACGGCCAACCAAGGCGAGGAUCAGUAGCCGGUCUGAGAGGAUGAACGGCCACAUUGGGACUGAGACACGGCCCAGACUCCUACGGGAGGCAGCAGUGGGGAAUCUUCCGCAAUGGACGAAAGUCUGACGGAGCAACGCCGCGUGAGUGAUGACGGCCUUCGGGUUGUAAAGCUCUGUUAAUCGGGACGCGGUACCGGAAUAGAAAGCCACGGCUAACUACGUGCCAGCAGCCGCGGUAAUAC